CGCAAAGAGGUUAGUGUUAAGAAACGCUAGGUUGGUAUGAUCGCUAGUUACUACAAGCUAAGUUGGUACGACUUCUAACGACGCUCUUUUGUCUUAGAAGUCGACCACGUGUUAAUUGACCAAGUGUAUUCUGUGUGUUAAGACGUGUUGAACGAGAAGGAGAAAUAUAUGGAGAAAAUCU